rnacentral:rRNA from 1 species
AGUGGAAUUCCACGUGUAGCGGUGAAAUGCGUAGAGAUGUGGAGGAACACCAGUGGCGAAGGCGACUCUCUGGUCUGUAACUGACGCUGAGGAGCGAAAGCGUGGGGAGCGAACAGGAUUAGAUACCCUGGUAGUCCACGCCGUAAACGAUGAGUGCUAAGUGUUAGGGGGUUUCCGCCCCUUAGUGCUGCAGCUAACGCAUUAAGCACUCCGCCUGGGGAGUACGGUCGCAAGACUGAAACUCAAAGGAAUUGACGGGGGCCCGCACAAGCGGUGGAGCAUGUGGUUUAAUUUGAAGCAACGCGAAGAACCUUACCAGGUCUUGACAUCCUCUGACAACCCUAGAGAUAGGGCUUUCCCUUCGGGGACAGAGUGACAGGUGGUGCAUGGUUGUCGUCAGCUCGUGUCGUGAGAUGUUGGGUUAAGUCCCGCAACGAGCGCAACCCUUGAUCUUAGUUGCCAGCAUUCAGUUGGGCACUUUAAGGUGACUGCCGGUGACAAACCGGAGGAAGGUGGGGAUGACGUCAAAUCAUCAUGCCCCUUAUGACCUGGGCUACACACGUGCUACAAUGGACAGAACAAAGGGCUGCAAGACCGCAAGGUUUAGCCAAUCCCAUAAAUCUGUUCUCAGUUCGGAUCGCAGUCUGCAACUCGACUGCGUGAAGCUGGAAUCGCUAGUAAUCGCGGAUCAGCAUGCCGCGGUGAAUACGUUCCCGGGCCUUGUACACGCCGCCCGUCACACCACGAGAGUUUGCCCUUCCCGAAGUCGGUGAGGUAACCUUUAUGGAGCCAGCCGCCGA